UACGUAGGUGGCAAGCGUUGUCCAGAUUUAUUGGGUUUAAAGGGUGCGUAGGCGGCCGCCUAAGUCAGUUGUGAAAUACCCCGGCUCAACCGGGGGGGUGCGAUUGAUACUGGGCGGCUCGAGUAACAGCGAGGUUGGCGGAAUUGACGGUGUAGCGGUGAAAUGCAUAGAUAUCGUCAAGAACACCGAUAGCGAAGGCAGCCAACUAGGGGUUAACUGACGCUGAGGCACGAAAGUGCGGGGAUCAAACAGG
rnacentral:rRNA from 1 species